GGCAUCACACUUGGAGACCAUGUUUGGGGAGCAGACCGUCAAGUAGUAGAGAAGAGAGAAGAGAAGACGGAAUCCCUCAGAAGGCCUGGGAGACAGACCGCCCCGAGAGUCCGGGCCCCUGAAGCUGUCCUGCGCCGUCCGGAAAUUCUCCCGCAGAAAUAGCCCGCCUACAAACUAAGGAUCACACAUUUACCACCGUGACUGCUGAUGCUUCCCAUCUAGGAUGGACGGUGGGCCUCCAAACUUUGUCACACUGUCCUCAAAAGGAGACCUACAUUACAGAUGAUCAUCCCAAGCAAGAUGCUCCAAAGGAGGAAUCUGAGAUCCCGCCUGAGAAGAAAGGACGGGCGUUCCAGGAAAGCAGCACCCAUCAAGUUGCAAAGUCCUCCCUUCAGAAGAUAUCAAGCUAAUGGACUUGGUCUUCCCCUCUUUACGCCAGUUUGCUUAUCAGGCAACCAUCAGUUUUAUCACUGUUCCUUCAUUUGGAGACACAACUACUUGUCCCAAGAUCACUGGACGCCAGACCGUGGAGACCUGCGGGCCGAGAGAGGAGGGCCGGAGGGGACAGAGCGGCGCUGUAAACAAGUCUUUACUUGACAGAAGGAGAUAGCUGGAGAUGCACCUUCACAGAAGCCCCGAUGCUGUCCCCGAUGCUGUCCCCCUGACGUGAGCUGUCCCUGUUUGUGAUCUAGAAAUCUGGUCAUCGCGGCUCAGUGUCCGGCAGUGCAGCCGGCCGGCCCCUCCAGCGCCGCAGAGACGCUUUGAAGCCGCUUCUGUACUGUGUCGGCAGCAUCAGCACGGACGGAUCUGAAGGCUGUAAUGGCUGGGAAAGGUGACACAGCCUCCCGUAAUUGACUGUGGCAAUAUAAAAUAUGGCCUGCUCUGUUUUGUAACAAGGUGGAUAUUGCUUUCUUUCUGGGUUGCAGGGAAACAAAGUAAGCAGAAUUGCCUUUGCUAUUAAGUUUCCAGGUUAAAAGCUGCAAAUCUGGGUUGUAAAGUGUGUCUUCCCUGGCGGUGUGUAGUAAAUUACCAUCCCGCCCUGCUGCAGGGACAACAUGUUUCCAGCUUAAUGUAUCAGGUGCUUUGUAUUUUCUCCAGCUAUUUAGUGUAGGGCAAAUGGGCCCAUAAAACAAGGAACAGCAAGGAGUGACAUAUGUCAUUUUAGUUUUUUUGCCUUCAAAUAAUUGCCAGGUAAAAUAAUGAAGUGCAUUUUUCUUUAAAUUAAGAAAGUCCAAAUAUUUUGGAUCUUCUUGUUAUGAAUGAAGAUUGCAGAUGCGUCAUUAAUAGCUAGAGGUUGAUUUGUACCUACAGCAAAGAUUGUUAUCCACGUACUGAACCCACCCACUCAGAAAGUUCUGGUCCGAGGAAGCAGAUUUUUUUUUUUAGUGGGAAAAAAAGUUCUUUGUUUCAAUUACUAUUGCAUUAUUUGAAAUCAAAGGGCAAGUUAGACUUAAUCUGACUUUUACUUUGUGUGAUUUCGGGUUUAUUUAUUUGCUUGAGUCUGAUAGGCAUUUAGGAAAACGUCUGUGAAAGGACUUGAUUUCGUCCUUUCCACAUUUGUUACCAUCUCUUUAAAAACGGAUGCAAGGGGACAUGCUCACCCACCAGCAAAGCUACACAGCACCUCCUCUGAGGGGCUCUUAGGAAUGCAAACACCAUUCAGACAAUUUCACCGGACAGACCCACUGUGGAGCCCUUCGGAGGGAGGCAACAGGGCAGAACAGAAACUUUCCAGUAUUUCUAUGUUAAGCUAAGAAUCGUAAAAGCAAAUUCAUUCUAAGGAAAGAGAUAAAUACCAUGCUAAUGGCUACUGCCAGAGUUUACAAAAGGAAAGAACAAUAAAGAGGCGACUUCCCUGGUAUUUUAGAGGUAAUAGAAAUAAACCUCUAAAGAGAAGCAUAAAAUAUUUAUUGCAGAGCACACUGUACACUCUAGAAUCACACAGAACCGCUGGCAGUGAUUAAGUGGUCUGUGGCCGCAUAGAGAGAUGCCGAGGCGCUAGCAUACAAGAUAUUGAUUACAUGAUGAUCCCAGCAGUUGGGUUCCUGCAGCUGCUCGCAACACGGGGAGGAAUGAAAAUAACACAUCAGUUUCUGUAGGCUACAUUGCACACAAAAUGGUGCAGGUGAUGAGCUACGUGAAUGAUGUUUCCUUCUCCCAUUCAUAAAUGUGAGAGCCGUAUAAUGAAUUAAUCCGUCUGGAACCAGGAAGCCUACUAUAGCGUACGGUUCUUAAAAUUGCCAACGGGAUACUUGGGUUUUCAGUUCCACUCUAAUACUGGCCCCUCAUUUGGUUUUCACUUAAAAUCUCAAUGUGUCAUGGUACCCAAAAGGAUUUGUUUCUUUCUAAUGGCAGCACUCAGGUGUAGAAAAUUGAGGACCCUUAAAUAAGUCAGAGGGAAAUAGGGGAAAAAUUGCACAUUUUGAAAUGAUUUGAAGUGAUAUAUGAAGUUCCAAUGUCGAUGGGUGGUGCUAUGUAGAUUAUGUUAAAUUUCAGUUACUCCACUGUCAUCAACACCUGUAUUUAUUAUUAUUUUUAGUUGCUUAACAUCAAGCCUUAAUUUGGAGUAUAGUUGCCCUUAAAUAAGAAACAAAUGGUUAAGAAGGAAAAUAGAAAUACAUACUCAGCCAUGGGACGAUGGGAUUAAGAUGAGAACUUGAGAAAGAGGAGAAGGGAGAUGACAGUCUAAAAAUGACGGAACUGCCUUCCUACCCACGGUCCCCCAGCCCCGGUGUCCUGCAGGCUGGGGUGUGCAUCCAAUUCCUCACCCACCAAGGCCUAUCAUGACUUUUUCACAUCCUCACAAGAGUGAACCCACACAAGGAACAGCUACUCCCAUCCUGUGUCUGUGGUUUUUCUCCCUCGUUCAUGGAAAAAGACGUGGAGUCAAGCGCCGGAGGGAGUGUCAACCUAGAAUCAUAAGAUAAAAUGUGUCCCUAACAGGAGGUUCUUCCUAAGACUGUUGUCCCCGUGAGAAGCUUCGUCCUAGUGGAAGACGAGAUGGGAAGAUGCAACGGGGCCCCCACGGGGGUUUGUGGUUGGCGGGCUGUGUCUGGAGUUACACUGACGCGCGUUCGUCUCCGUGCGUGUCUUGACAGAUUCGUGAAUCUCUAUCUGUGUAUCUGUGUUAGCCAGAUCAUUUGUGAGUUACAGUAUAUGAAGCCCAUACAGUAGACUGUGUAUUUGCAAAUAUAUCAUACAACAGAUGACGGGAAGAUAUGCUAAUUUUGAAUUUUACAUUUUAAUGUAAAUGCAUUUUUGCUGUCUGGCUGCUCGGAAUGGUGUAGGCUGUCUCAUGAAGGGCGUUUUAUUUAAUAAUCAUGCCGGUCUGAGAUUAAAAUUAAGGUGUUUCACAUUGAAGUGUGAUACUGAUCACAGGGAAGAAUGUCAGAGAAGGGAUAACACUUAUUUAAAAAUUUACUAAUAAAAGUUGCCGGCAUCUAUAGAACUAGAGACAGAAGUUUGCCGCACACCUGGGUUGCCUCACUCAUCUUCAGUGGCCAUCGGCAUCGGGCCGGUCCUGUUUCAUCCAAAUCCCCAAACACUAUCCUCCAUCAAGGCCUUAUUUCAAGGCAGUUCUUAGAGCACUUAAUACGUACUUCAGUACCUGUCUCUAAAAGUUCUUUUGAGAAAUGGAACUACUGGACUAUUAUCCUUAAAAAAAGUAGUGAUUACUCCUUAACGCCAUAAAAUAGUUUAUCAGUGAUUGGAUUUCCCCUCAUUGCUGUAUACAUUAUUUUUAGACUUUUUUUGUGUUUGAAUCGAGACCAAACAAAUUCACAUUUAGGGAGGCCUCCCCUCCUUUUUUUAAAUAACAAUAACUCUUAAAAAAGAAUAUGCCUUUUAGAGCUUAGAAAUCCACUUCUACAGAUUUAUGUAAUGGUUCUGCCUUAUCUUUAUAGAUUUGGUUAUCUUUCUUGAAAAUGUAAUACUCCUCUUAGGUGUUUUCUUCUGAAGAAUCAUGCAGACCAAGGAACCUUUUGAGGCCCUGGCCUUCUUUCAUGAGUCUUACAAAGGAAAUGAAACUCUCUAAAGUAAACGGUGACCCAGGAGUCCAGUGACAUUUAAUUUGGGCGCUUCCCGUUUAUAUAGUGGCCACAACUACCAUGAAUCUAAAGUGUGCGCUUUCAUCUAUUUUAUCUCGUCAAAAAUUUCAUGACUUUGACCUUUUCUUUUCCCGCAAUCCAUACAUAUAUAGUAGAAUUUUAAAAGUAUUUUUGGCAAUCAAGAUUUUCUUCUGAUCCUUGUGUGAAAAAAGAAACAUUUAUGAUCUUGAAAAAAGCAUAUGUUAACUUCCCUUGAAUUCUUUAGAUCAGCUCAAAGAUGAAUUUGCCAUUUUAAGACUAUAAUAUUGAAAAGAUCUGUCUUCAAAGUGAACCCAUGCAUAAGUACUUUUUUUAUCUUAGGGAAUUUAUAUUUUUUUAAAGGAAAACAGCAACCGAACUUGAAAACCAGUAUGUACCCCAUGGAUCAAGCUUUUCAAAGAACGAUGUCUCAAAAAAUAGAGCUUUUGAUUUCUUAAAAUGAUCUCUGAAGUCCCAUCUUGAAAUACAUAAAUCAACAAAUUGAAUUUUAAUGGAAAAUCAAAGGUGUUUUUUGAAAGGCUCUCAAAUGAAGCUUUGAAAACUAGGAAGACACAGUUAUCAGCUUGUUGUGAUGACGUUGCCUUGACGCCCGCAUUUUAUUCUUAAGUAGGAAAGGACACAGCGUCAAGGACAGAUGAAGAAAACAACUUAUCUACAAACAGAGGCACGCCCCCCUCUGAAAGACUUUCCUGAAAGUCUGCUGAGCACCGGCCACUACAGUCAGACUGACAUGUUGUACGUGCCUGUUCAUGGUUGUCAUUGUGUGUCUAUCUUUCGAUUAUAAAGCGAUAAAAUGGAAGGUGAGGCCAGUGAGUAAAACGUUGGUGUAGAUUUCCUCUGACCCGUUUAAAACUAUUAAACAUAUAAAAACAAAUUGCUGCAAAGCAGUUUCCUGAGGCUUGUUGUGUUGUUAUUCCCACGUGCACGUGGGGGACGUGCUGCUCCGGGGUGGGCUGGGACUCCAGGGUUGCAGGGGUGGUGCUCAGGUCACCAUGGCUCCCUCAUGGCGCCACUUCUCAUGCUCGUCCGCACCGGAAACGGGACAGAUGCAAGAUGAACAUUGUGCGAUUUCAGACUAAGAAGAGCUUUCCUUGGAGGAGGAAGAAUUGAAGAGAUAAGUCAAUAAGCAGGAGCAAAUUGAAAGUAACUGGUAAAGUGCCAGAAAAUUAAAGUGGCACAUCUUUUUAGGGAGUGUGAUAAGGGCCCUGCAUUGAUGACGGCCUCUGUGCACUUUGUUCUUCUGUGUGUCCUCUCCAGGUGGAAAAGAGAGCAUCCCUGCACCCGUUUGCUCAGUUUCCUGCCGUGGGUAAUUACAAAGAAUGCAUCGUUAUUGAGAAAGAAAGUUAGUUUUCAGUGAAGGCUG
ensembl:lncRNA